GACGAACGCUGGCGGCGUGCUUAACACAUGCAAGUCGAGCGGUAAGGCCCUUUCGGGGGUACACGAGCGGCGAACGGGUGAGUAACACGUGGGUGACCUGCCCUCAGCUCUGGGAUAAGCCUGGGAAACCGGGUCUAAUACUGGAUAUGACUCCAUGACGCAUGUUGUGGGGUGGAAAGCCUUGUGCGGCUGAGGAUGGGCCCGCGGCCUAUCAGCUUGUUGGUGGGGUGANGGCCUACCAAGGCGACGACGGGUAGCCGGCCUGAGAGGGCGACCGGCCACACUGGGACUGAGACACGGCCCAGACUCCUACGGGAGGCAGCAGUGGGGAAUCCUGCGCAAUGGGCGAAAGCCUGACGCAGCGACGCCGCGUGAGGGAUGACGGCCU
rnacentral:rRNA from 1 species